UCACCCAUUAAACGAUAAUAAAAGUUUAUGGACUCCAGGGUCCUACGGGCUGUUUGGAUGAGACAAAGGAUGUCCUAAGGGGUUUACUUUGCAUGAGAUGUUAGUUUGCCUGCCACCAUUACUACAUUAUAAUAUAGAUGGUUAUAUUCCAUAUACUAAAGUGGUUGAAAGUCAUGGAUAUGCAGAACUUCAUUUUAUUUACUGUAGAUGUAUCCAGUCACUGAGCAAUGUGACUACUCAUCCAUUUAACAGUUUUAAUCCAUUCUUAGCGAUCAAGCAUUUCGUGUAUGAUGAAUCCAGGCAAUUUGGAGAACCACAAUCAUUUCAUUUUAGUGAUCAAAUUUUAGCACGAUAUCUUCGUAUUUACCCCUCAGCGUUUCUAAGCACGGAAAUGCUGUGCUUGAAAUUUGAAAUACUUGGCUGCAGACAUACAGAAAAUGACGAUGUUGACGUUGCACCAACACUUCGAUUAGCAGCGAACUGGCGUAUGGUGUUCAAUGCGUCAAUUACGAAUAUGGUUGUACCUGGUGAACUUACAAGUUUCAAUUACCCGACGUCAUAUACUUAUAAUUCAAUACAUCAAUGGAAGAUUCAGCUUCCUGGAAAUUAUACAGUAUGACAAUUCGUAGACAUUUCACUUCGCGAGUUUGAGGAUAGAGAGCAGAAAAUAUUCCAGAACGAUUAUGCGUGCAAAGAUGUUAUCAUGGUGUCACUGUUUGCCGAUGAUAUAAUGGAAGUUCUUCUUCGUGCACUCACUGACGACUGGUUUAGUAGUUAUCGUCUAGAGAGCAGGCACAAUGGUGGAAUGCCUUACUUUUAUGUGACAGAUCAAGUGGCAUAUUUGGCAUUCAUGGCAUGUCCAAGGGGAAACUUACUAAAGCCCGGUCGAGGUUUCAGAGUCCAUAUUUCAGAAACAGAUUACCCAUAUUGUCAUGGAAGUUUAUGGUUAACACACUGUAAACCACAAUCAAUUGGUGUAAUUACGAACAGUUUCGCGGGCUGGCUCGAGUCUCCUUCAGUAGAGUAGAUCAGUACUGAUGGUCUAUACGUCAAACUGUCGACAGCCUUGUUAUGACAUUAAAACUUGAAGACUUUGAUAUCAGCUGUAACUCAGGUAAGGAUAAACAAGUUAAGCUUUUUGUAAAAGCUAGUUAGUGAUCCGUUUAUUAUUCUUAUGCAAAAGUAUUGAGAAAGAAAUCAAUAUACAUUUUAAAAAAUCUUCCAAAGCUCCCCGCAAAUACUCCUGACUUUGAGAAAUUCAUAAUUUUAUUAUGUGUACAAAAUAUGUUGUCAAUUACAAAUUCAAUUUUCAUUAGUUUAAACUUAUGUUACAAUAUCAAAUCACUAUGUUUUCCACCUCUACAUUUUUAAUAGGUCACAAAACUACACAUUACUGUUUUAUUUAGCAAAUAUCACAUGGUCUU